rnacentral:rRNA from 1 species
UACGGGGGGGGGCAAGCGUUGUUCGGAAUUACUGGGCGUAAAGGGUUCGUAGGUGGCUUGUUAAGUCAGACGUGAAAUCCCUCGGCUCAACCGGGGAACUGCGUCUGAUACUGGAUGGCUUGAGGUUGGGAGAGGGAUGCGGAAUUCCAGGUGUAGCGGUGAAAUGCGUAGAUAUCUGGAGGAACACCGGUGGCGAAGGCGGCAUCCUGGACCAAUUCUGACGCUGAGGAGCGAAAGCCAGGGGAGCAAACGGG